rnacentral:rRNA from 1 species
GACGAACGCUGGCGGCGUGCUUAACACAUGCAAGUCGAGCGGUAAGGCUCCUUCGGGAGUACACGAGCGGCGAACGGGUGAGUAACACGUGAGUAAUCUGCCCUUCACUUCGGGAUAACCACCGGAAACGGUGGCUAAUACCGAAUACGACCAGUCUUCGCAUGAGGUGCUGGUGGAAGGUCUUUUCGUUGAAGGAUGUGCUCGCGGCCUAUCAGCUUGUUGGUGGGGUAAUGGCCUACCAAGGCUUCGACGGGUAGCGGGCCUGAGAGGGUGACCGGCCACACUGGGACUGAGACACGGCCCAGACUCCUACGGGAGGCAGCAGUGGGGAAUAUUGGACAAUGGGCGAAAGCCUGAUCCAGCAACGCCGCGUGAGGGAUGACGGCCUUCGGGUUGUAAACCUCUUUCAGUACCGACGAAGCGCCCUGUCGGGUGGUGACGGUAGGUACAGAAGAAGGACCGGCCAACUACGUG